rnacentral:rRNA from 1 species
CCUACGGGUGGCAGCAGUGGGGGAUAUUGGACAAUGGGGGGAACCCUGAUCCAGCGACGCCGCGUGAGUGAAGAAGUAUCUCGGUAUGUAAAGCUCUAUCAGCAGGGAAGAAGACAUGACGGUACCUGAGGAAGAAGACCCGGCUGACUACGUGCCAGCAGACGCGGUAAUACGGAGGGGGCAAGCGUUAUCCGGACUUACUGGGUGUAAAGGGAGCGUAGAGGGUGAUGUAAGUCUGGAGGGAACGGCGGGGGCCCAACCCCCGGACUGCUCUGGAAACGAUGUGACUGGCGUGCAGGAGAGGUGAGCGGAAUUCCUAGUGUAGCGGUGAAAUGCGUAGAUAUUAGGAGGAACACCAGUGGCGAAGGCGGCUCACUGGACUGUAACUGACGUUGAUGCUCGAACGCGUGGGGAGCAAACAGGAUUAGAUACCCCAGUAGUC